GAGGGUAUAGCUCAGUGGUAGAGUGCAUGCGUCACAUGCACGAGGCCCUGGGUUCAAUCCCCAAGUAACUCCA
rnacentral:tRNA from 1 species